GAGUUUGAUCCUGGCUCAGAUUGAACGCUGGCGGCAGGCCUAACACAUGCAAGUCGAGCGGUAGAGAGAAGCUUGCUUCUCUUGAGAGCGGCGGACGGGUGAGUAAUGCCUAGGAAUCUGCCUGGUAGUGGGGGAUAACGCUCGGAAACGGACGCUAAUACCGCAUACGUCCUACGGGAGAAAGCAGGGGACCUUCGGGCCUUGCGCUAUCAGAUGAGCCUAGGUCGGAUUAGCUAGUUGGUGAGGUAAUGGCUCACCAAGGCGACGAUCCGUAACUGGUCUGAGAGGAUGAUCAGUCACACUGGAACUGAGACACGGUCCAGACUCCUACGGGAGGCAGCAGUGGGGAAUAUUGGACAAUGGGCGAAAGCCUGAUCCAGCCAUGCCGCGUGUGUGAAGAAGGUCUUCGGAUUGUAAAGCACUUUAAGUUGGAGGAAGGGCAGUAAAUUAAUACUUUAGCUGUUUUGACGUUA
rnacentral:rRNA from 1 species